AAUUGCCGGAAUUGGGCGAAACAAAACAAAUUGUUGCUAAUUAUAUUUAUAUUCCUGUGAUUUAAAAUACCAAAUGGAACUUGGUAUCUUAUAUGCAUAUUUCAAUAGCUACUGUCAAUCAUUCCAACAAGUUGACUUAGUGCUCAGUCAAUUACCAUCUAUUAGAUCCUCAUACUGUCAAAAGCCUAAAACUCCUGUUUGAAGCCCACAUAAAUUGGAAUACAACUGUGAGGAGAUAAGGUAUUUUCCCACUACUGCUACCACACCAACCACACUACGUCAAAUGCCUUACUAAAUCAUCACCCAAAUGAUAAAGGAAAUUUAUCCCACCCGAGGAGUAAUGCUG